rnacentral:misc_RNA from 1 species
ACCUUCACUUCAGUUUGGAAUUCUCGUUCCCCUUGAGAUGCAGCUCCUUCUAGUCUCUUCACAGCUGCAACUUUCUGGGUGCUCGAUAUUAGCCCUUUAUAAACAGUCCCAAAUGAACCUCUGCCAAUUUCUUCCUUGAAACCAUCUGUCACUCUCUCUAGUUCUUCAAAGGUAAAGGAUCGAGGAGCAACUUCCUCACUUAAUCCAAUGUGGUCUUUUUCAGAGAUCCUUUUGUAUGCCCACACACGAUAUUUAAGAAACAGAAUGCCAGAAAUUGCCAACGUAACAAGCCCAAAAGCAACAACUGAAAUGCCAACGAUUAGGACGCCCCUGCCGAGCUGAUCACUUUUCUUUUUGUCUACUGCAGGCUCGUUUCUGUCUGUGUUGGUCCUGAUUGAUGUAGAUUUAACCUUGAUCAAAGCUGAGUUUGACUCAUCCGGGUUUCUUCUCCCAUAUCUCAAAGGCAGCUUUUGCUUUUUGCACAGACCGUCUUCGUAAAACGCAGCAUCACAGUUACAAUCCUGCAGACAUGCUUGCUCGCACUCUCCCUUGAUAGAUAAUGAGAGAACGGAGUAUGAUACAUCUUCCCACGCGGUGCUAAGAACUUCUUGAAUUCUGAUGCUUUUAUGAUCUUCUUUGCAACUUUCAGCUGUGAAAUUCCUCUCACAUCCAGCAGU